AACGAACGCUGGCGGCAUGCCUAACACAUGCAAGUCGAACGAGACCUUCGGGUCUAGUGGCGCACGGGUGCGUAACGCGUGGGAACCUGCCCUUAGGUUCGGAAUAACUCCCCGAAAGGGGUGCUAAUACCGGAUAAUGUCUUCGGACCAAAGAUUUAUCGCCUUUGGAUGGGCCCGCGUUGGAUUAGCUAGUUGGUAGGGUAAAAGCCUACCAAGGCGACGAUCCAUAGCUGGUCUGAGAGGAUGAUCAGCCACACUGGGACUGAGACACGGCCCAGACUCCUACGGGAAGCAGCAGUGGGGAAUAUUGGACAAUGGGCGAAAGCCUGAUCCAGCAAUGCCGCGUGAGUGUUGAAGGCCUUAGGGUUGUAAAGCUCUUUUACCCGGGAUGAUAAUGACAGUACCGGGAGAAUAAGCUCCGGCUAACUCCGUG
rnacentral:rRNA from 1 species